rnacentral:tRNA from 4 species
GCCCACGUAGCUCAGUGGAUAGAGCACCGCCCUUCUAAGGCGGGGGUCAGAAGUUCGAAUCUUCUCGUGGGCGCCA